rnacentral:rRNA from 1 species
UACGUAGGUGGCAAGCGUUAUCCGGAUUUAUUGGGUGUAAAGGGCGUGUAGGCGGGAAUGCAAGUCAGAUGUGAAAACUAUGGGCUCAACCCAUAGCCUGCAUUUGAAACUGUGUUUCUUGAGUGCAGAAGAGGAGAGUGGAACUCCAUGUGUAGCGGUGGAAUGCGUAGAUAUAUGGAAGAACACCAGUGGCGAAGGCGGCUCUCUGGUCUGUAACUGACGCUGAGGCUCGAAAGCAUGGGUAGCGAACAGG